rnacentral:rRNA from 1 species
UGGUGGCAAUAGAGAAGGGGGUACACCUGAUCCCAUACCGAACUCAGAAGUUAAGUCCUUCCUCGCCGAUGGUACUGCACACAAGAGUGUGGAAGAGUAGGGCGCCGCCAAGUU